GGAAUUUUGGACAAUGGGGGAAACCCUGAUCCAGCCAUCCCGCGUGUAUGAUGAAGGCCUUCGGGUUGUAAAGUACUUUUGGCAGAGAAGAAAAGGCAUCCCCUAAUACGGGAUGCUGCUGACGGUAUCUGCAGAAUAAGCACCGGCUAACUACGUGCCAGCAGCCGCGGUAAUACGUAGGGUGCAAGCGUUAAUCGGAAUUACUGGGCGUAAAGCGUGUGUAGGCGGUUCGGAAAGAAAGAUGUGAAAUCCCAGGGCUCAACCUUGGAACUGCAUUUUUAACUGCCGAACUAGAGUAUGUCAGAGGGGGGUAGAAUUCCACGUGUAGCAGUGAAAUGCGUAGAUAUGUGGAGGAAUACCGAUGGCGAAGGCAGCCCCCUGGGAUAAUACUGACGCUCAGACACGAAAGCGUGGGGAGCAAACAGGAUUAGAUACCCUGGUAGUCCACGCCCUAAACGAUGUCAACUAGCUGUUGGGGCCGUUAGGCCUUAGUAGCGCAGCUAACGCGGUGAAGUUGACCGCCUGGGGAGUACGGUCGCAAGAUUAAAACUCAAAGGAAUUGACGGGGACCCGCACAAGCGGUGGAUGAUGUGGAUUAAUUCGAUGCAACGCGAAAAACCUUACCUACCCUUGACAUGUCUGGAAUGCCGAAGAGAUUUGGCAGUGCUCGCAAGAGAACCGGAACACAGGUGCUGCAUGGCUGUCGUCAGCUCGUGUCGUGAGAUGUUGGGUUAAGUCCCGCAACGAGCGCAACCCUUGUCAUUAGUUGCUACGCAAGAGCACUCUAAUGAGACUGCCGGUGACAAACCGGAGGAAGGUGGGGAUGACGUCAAGUCCUCAUGGCCCUUAUGGGUAGGGCUUCACACGUCAUACAAUGGUCGGGACAGAGGGUCGCCAACCCGCGAGGGGGAGCCAAUCUCAGAAACCCGAUCGUAGUCCGGAUCGCAGUCUGCAACUCGACUGCGUGAAGUCGGAAUCGCUAGUAAUCGCGGAUCAGAAUGUCGCGGUGAAUACGUUCCCGGGUCUUGUACACACCGCCCGUCAA
rnacentral:rRNA from 1 species